ACGCUCGACACCUACGGGAUGCAGCAGUGGGGAAUAUUGCACAAUGGGGGAAACCCUGAUGCAGCGACGCCGCGUGGAGGAAGAAGUAUCUCGGUAUGUAAACUUCUAUCAGCAGGGAAGAAAGUGACGGUACCUGACUAAGAAGCCCCGGCUAACUACGUGCUAGCAGCCGCGGUAAUCUGAGCGGGCUGGCAAGGC
rnacentral:rRNA from 1 species